rnacentral:rRNA from 1 species
AGAGUUUGAUCAUGGCUCAGGACGAACGCUGGCGGCGUGCCUAAUACAUGCAAGUCGAGCGGAUUUAUCCUUCGGGAUAAGUUAGCGGCGGACGGGUGAGUAACACGUAGGUAACCUGCCUAUAAGAUCGGGAUAACUAUCGGAAACGAUAGCUAAGACCGGAUAACUGGUUUUCUCGCAUGAGAGAAUCAUGAAACACGGAGCAAUCUGUGGCUUAUAGAUGGGCCUGCGGCGCAUUAGCUAGUUGGUAGGGUAAUGGCCUACCAAGGCGACGAUGCGUAGCCGACCUGAGAGGGUGACCGGCCACACUGGGACUGAGACACGGCCCAGACUCCUACGGGAGGCAGCAGUAGGGAAUCUUCCGCAAUGGACGCAAGUCUGACGGAGCAACGCCGCGUGAGUGAUGAAGGUUUUCGGAUCGUAAAGCUCUGUUGCCCUAGACGAACAGCAAGGAGAGUAACUGCUCUUUGUGUGACGGUAUAGGAGAAGAAAGCCCCGGCUAACUACGUGCCAGCAGCCGCGGUA